UUGGGUUAAGUCCCGCAACGAGCGCAACCCUUAAGCUUAGUUGCCAUCAUUAAGUUGGGCACUCUAAGUUGACUGCCGGUGACAAACCGGAGGAAGGUGGGGAUGACGUCAAAUCAUCAUGCCCCUUAUGAUUUGGGCUACACACGUGCUACAAUGGACAAUACAAAGGGCAGCGAAACCGCGAGGUCAAGCAAAUCCCAUAAAGUUGUUCUCAGUUCGGAUUGUAGUCUGCAACUCGACUACAUGAAGCUGGAAUCGCUAGUAAUCGUAGAUCAGCAUGCUACGGUGAAUACGUUCCCGGGUCUUGUACACACCGCCCGUCACACCACGAGAGUUUGUAACACCCGAAGCCGGUGGAGUAACCUUUUAGGAGCUAGCCGUCGAAGGUGGGACAAAUGAUUGGGGUGAAGUCGUAACAAGGUAGCCGUAUCGGAAGGUGCGGCUGGAUCACCUCCUUU
rnacentral:rRNA from 1 species